ACGUAACAAGCACGAUGGUGCGGACUGGAGGGGAUCGCCCCUGGACUGGACCGCCAGACCUACGGAGCAGCAGUAGGAUCUCGCAUGACGAAGUCGACGGAGCACGCCGCGUGAGUGAUGAGUUUCGGAUCGUAAAGCUCUGUUGUUAGGGAGAACAAGUACCGUUCGAUAGGGCGGUACCUGACGGUACCUAACCAGAAAGCACGGCUAACUACGUGCCAGCAGCCGCGGUAAUACGUAGGUGGCAAGCGUUGUCCGGAAUUAUUGGGCGUAAAGGGCUCGCAGGCGGUUUCUUAAGUCUGAUGUGAAAGCCCCCGGCUCAACCGGGGAGGGUCAUUGGAAACUGGGGAACUUGAGUGCAGAAGAGGAGAGUGGAAUUCCACGUGUAGCGGUGAAAUGCGUAGAGAUGUGGAGGAACACCAGUGGCGAAGGCGACUCUCUGGUCUGUAACUGACGCUGAGGAGCGAAAGCGUGGGGAGCGAACAGGAUUAGAUACCCUGGUAGUCCACGCCGUAAACGAUGAGUGCUAAGUGUUAGGGGGUUUCCGCCCCUUAGUGCUGCAGCUAACGCAUUAAGCACUCCGCCUGGGGAGUACGGUCGCAAGACUGAAACUCAAAGGAAUUGACGGGGGCCCGCACAAGCGGUGGAGCAUGUGGUUUAAUUCGAAGCAACGCGAAGAACCUUACCAGGUCUUGACAUCCUCUGACAAUCCUAGAGAGUAGGACGUCCCCUUCGGGGGCAGAGUGACAGGUGGUGCAUGGUGAGAUCGUGAUUCGUGCCUCCGGAGCUCUCU
rnacentral:rRNA from 1 species